CCCUUAGAUGUCCUGGGCCGCACGCGCGUUACACUGAUGCAUUCAACGAGCUUAUAACCUUGGCCGAGAGGCCUGGGCAAUCUUGUUAACGUGCAUCGUGAUAGGGAUAGAUUAUUGAAAUUAUUAAUCUUGAACGAGGAAUUCCUAGUAAACGCAGAUCAUCAAUCUGCAUUGAUUACGUACCUGCCCUUUGUACACACCGCCCGUCGCACCUACCGAUUGGAUGGUCCGGUGAAGCCUCGGGAUUGUGGUUCUUGCCGCUUUAUUGUGGCGUGACCGCGAGAACUUGUCUAAACCUUAUCAUCUAGAGGAAGGUGAAGUCGUAACA
rnacentral:rRNA from 1 species